GCCGGGCGUGGUGGCGGGCACCUGUAAUCCCAGCUACUUGGGAGGCUGAGGCGGGAGAAUCGCUUGAACCCGGGAGGCAGAGGUUGCAGUGAGCCAAGAUCACGCCACUGCACUCCAGCCUGGGUGACAAAGUGAGACCCUGUCUCAA
rnacentral:SRP_RNA from 1 species